rnacentral:misc_RNA from 1 species
GCAAACUUGGUCAUUUAGAGGAAGUAAAAGUCGUAACAAGGUAACCGUAGGUGAACCUGCGGUUGGAUCAUUACUAAAAUGAUUGUUUGUAGGCUUGAGCUGAUUUAUCUGCUCGUCUAUAAGCUUUUCAACCCUUUGUGAAAUUGUGACUGUUAUUUGGGUUAAAUCUCUUUUGAUUUAGCCCAAACUUUUUAAACCAAUUUUAUUUUUUUAGCCUGAUUUCUAAUGUUAAAUAAUAACAACUUUUGACAACGGAUCUCUUGGCUCUCGCAUCGAUGAAGAACGCAGC